UCUAUAAGUAAUAAAAGAUCCGUUUAGAUCCCUUAACUUUAUUUAAAACAUCAGUUUGAUUAUUUUUGUUAACUUAAUUCAAAAAACUUUAAAUUAAUAGAAAAAACCAAACUGAUACUUUAAAUAAAGUUAAGGGAUCUAAACGGAUCUUUUAUUACUUAUGGAA
rfam:Medicago truncatula strain A17 unplaced genomic scaffold scaffold0009, whole genome shotgun sequence.